GAAUUCCUACGGGGGGCAGCAGUAGGGAAUCUUCCACAAUGGACGAAAGUCUGAUGGAGCAACGCCGCGUGAGUGAAGAAGGGUUUCGGCUCGUAAAGCUCUGUUGGUAGUGAAGAAAGAUAGAGGUAGUAACUGGCCUUUAUUUGACGGUAAUUACUUAGAAAGUCACGGCUAACUACGUGCCAGCAGCCGCGGUAAUACGGAGGUGGCAAGCGUUGUCCGGAUUUAUUGGGCGUAAA
rnacentral:rRNA from 1 species